AUUGAACGCUGGCGGCAUGCCUAACACAUGCAAGUCGAACGGCAGCACGGGAGCUUGCUCCUGGUGGCGAGUGGCGGACGGGUGAGUAAUGCAUAGGAAUCUGCCCAGUAGCGGGGGACAACUUGGGGAAACUCAAGCUAAUACCGCAUGCGCCCUACGGGGGAAAGCGGGGGACCUUCGGGCCUCGCACUAUUGGAUGAGCCUAUGUCAGAUUAGCUUGUUGGUGGGGUAACGGGCCUACCAAGGCGACGAUCUGUAGCUGGUCUGAGAGGACGAUCAGCCACACUGGGACUGAGACACGGCCCAGACUCCUACGGGAGGCAGCAGUGGGGAAUAUUGCACAAUGGGCGAAAGCCUGAUGCAGCAAUGCCGCGUGUGUGAAGAAGGCCUGCGGGUUGUAAAGCACUUUCAGUA
rnacentral:rRNA from 1 species